rnacentral:lncRNA from 1 species
AGAGGAGAAAACUGACCCACACAUGCCAUCGCUUCACCACCCUCACCUGUAAUAUUAUCACAUAACCAUCCUCACCUGUAAUAUUAUCACAUAACCAUCAUUUUAUAUCCCUGUUGCCGCAUUCAAAGACUAUCUUGAAUGAGAGUUCCCACUUUCUUAUUAUAUGCGAGAUUAUCUCUUGAGGAAUGAGAGAGAAGACUACCAAAGAUGAGGGACAAUGUCCUCGUGGACUCUUAAUCAAAGCUUAUGAUCAGAGAAAGA